UACGUAGGGUGCAAGCGUUUGUCCGGAAUUAUUGGGCGUAAAGAGCUCGUAGGCGGCUUGUCGCGUCGGCUGUGAAAACCUGGGGCUCAACCCCGGGCCUGCAGCCGAUACGGGCAAGCUAGAAUUCGGUAGGGGAGACUGGAAUUCCUGGUGUAGCGGUGAAAUGCGCAGAUAUCAGGAAGAACACCCGUGGCUAAGGCGGCUCUCUAGUACGGUACUGACGCUGAGACGCGAAAGCGUGGGGAGCGAACAGG
rnacentral:rRNA from 1 species